GGCACCAUUCAUUCAUGCAGGCUGUCCUGACAAAACGCCAAGUUAGCAAAAUAAGAUCACACAGUCACUCUGCAUCACAGCUGGAGACUCUGAAUUUACAAGUAUCUUGCAUCAAAACGCUGCCUCAGAGAGAACAGAAAAUGAAAAUACAGAUUCCUGAAAUCAUACAAUAAGAGGGAUGAAACACAAAUGUUUCCUGUACAAACUUUCAGCAAGUUAACGGUUACCUUCACCAUUUUUCUAAGUUUUUUAGUCUAAUUACCAAAAUAGAGAAGAAGGCUGGGAUUCAGGGUGGAGGCCUUGCUGGAAAUAAAGAAAUGUGCAUCUGGCCGAGCUAUGCCUAGUCCUCUCUCUCAGGAACGGGGUUUUUCUGAAGAGAAAAACCUGGCCAGGCACGGUGGCCCAUGCCUGUAAUCCCAGCACUUAGGGAGGCCAAGGUGGGCAGAUCACCUGAAGUAGGAGUUCAAGACCAGCCGGGCCAACACGGAGAAACCCCAUCUCUAUACUAAAAAUUAAAAAAAAAAAAAUUAGCCGGGCGUGGUGGUGAGCACCUGUAAUCCCAGCUACUCGGAAGGCUGAGGCAAGAGUAUUGCUUGAACCCAGAAGUCAGAGGUUGCAGUGAGUGAAAAUCGUGCCACUGCACUCCAGCCUGGGCAACAGAGUGGUACUCCA
rnacentral:antisense_RNA from 1 species